rnacentral:rRNA from 1 species
AGGUCCAGCCUGCCCAGUGACAAAGUUCAACGGCCGCGGUACCCUAACCGUGCGAAGGUAGCAUAAUCACUUGUUCUUUAAAUGAGGACUCGUAUCAACGGCACUACGAGGGCUAUACUGUCUCCUUUUUCUAAUCAGUGAAACUGAUCUCCCCGUGAAGAAGCGGGGAUCAAAAUAUAAGACGAGAAGACCCCAUGGAGCUUUAAACUCAUCACGCACCUCUGUGCCCCCAUACCCUUAAACACAAGAGAUCUGCGUGCUAGUUUUAGGUUGGGGGGACCACGGAGUGUAACUUAACCUCCAUAACAAAUGGGCUAACACCCUUAUCCAUGAGACACAGCUCUAAGAAUUACUAAACUAAUGCUUAUGACCCGAUAUUCGAUCAAUGAACCAAGUUACCCUGGGGAUAACAGCGCAAUCUACUUCAAGAGCCCAUAUCGACAAGUAGGUUUACGACCUCGAUGUUGGAUCAGGGUAUCCCGGUGGUGCAACCGCUACCGAUGGUUCGUUUGUUCAACGAUUAAAACCCUACGUGAUCUGA